CAGCUCCAGUAUUAAUCUCCCGGCAUGUCCAGUUGUCUCCUCACAGUUUCAUUCUGUAAUUGUGACUGUUGGCCUACUUGGAUCUCUUAUACUGCUCAUCACAAUCCUAUUCUGUAUAAAGCGUCUAUGUGGGAAACUAAGAUUUAGAAAUACUACUUCAGGUUGGACAAACUAUGAUGGGGCUGCUGUUGUAGGACUAUAUUCUGAUGAUUUAUUUACAAGACAUAAAGAAGUGAACCAGAGAGUCCCAGCAACAGAGACUUCAACAAUUUGGGGGCUCGUCCGGGAUUGGAAAGAGGAGAAGGAAUUCGAUCUUGUCCAGACAACCUACGCGAGAUUCACAGGUUCCGAGCCGGCUCAUGAUAAAGAUGGACUAACUGUCACGUUACCAGACGGGACAUCGGCGGUGUGCGGACCUGAAACCACACGCAAAGGGCAGUACCUGGUACAACCGGUGAAGGGUGAAAUAGCAGAGAUAUAUUGGGGACUAUUGACACCGGAAAAGCCGGACAAACAGGGUAUUUUGUCCCAGUACUUCAAAUGGAGGCCGUGGAUCUCCCUCCUCGAGCCGUACUUUCCUCCGCCAGACCCCCCACAUGUAACCCUAUUUUAUGAUCGGCAGGGCGAUGAGGUGUAUAGAGAGGGGUUUGGGGAUGUAGUGUGUGGAGACACGUGGCAGGUCGGGUCUAAAUUCAUAUAUGUAGGCCCUGAAGGGGUAGCGGCAGAUGUACAGUUGACAGAGGAGCAGGAUCAGUGGUACAUGAUGGCGGAGGAGUCCGUCCCACAUGUGUCACUGGCACUGCAUCCUAAACACCAAGCAAAAGACCUGGGGCCCAUGGUUAAAAGGGCGGUCGAAUGCACUGAUUGGACACUCACUCAGGCGCCAAACAUAUGGUACUCACCCAGCUGUAAGACGUAUCGGUUAGAAGCACGGAUUGGGUGUGUUUAGAGCGAAGGGAGAUAACUCGGGAUCAUGGGAGGGAAAAGAUGGAUCACCCUGUAGCCACAGCCAGACUUAAUGAGUUACCGGACUCACUAUGGUCCAAGGGUCCCACGGAUGUGGGGCUCACCGAUUGCCCACCGGUCACCUUUAAAAUGGACCGGGAGAGCCCAUAUGGCUGCCCCAAUACCCACACAAACCAGAGGCAGAGGACGGGUUAGAUGUGACAUUGAAUGGUUUGUGGCCCACAGGGGUGUUAGAGGAAUCAGGUUCCGCGUGGAACACACCUAUCCUCCCGGUAGAAAAGAAAGGGACAGGGAAAUACCGUAUGGCCCAUGAUCUCAGAGCUAUAAACAACAUUUUACUCACACCCACUAUACCGGUACCUAACCCGUAUGUAGCACUCACUAAUUUGACCCCGGAUCAAAAAUGGUUCACCUGCAUUGACCUGGCUAACGCUUUUUUCUGUCUCCCAC
ensembl:lncRNA